GGACCCGUGACGCAGUGGUUAGCGUGUUGCUCUUAUACUUGCUCCACUCUGUGUAGCUUGUGUGAUAGGAAAUGCAAAGGUCGUGAGUUCGAUCCUCACCUGGUCCA
rnacentral:tRNA from 1 species